rnacentral:tRNA from 1 species
GGCAUGUAGCUUAGUGGUAGAGCACUUGCCUAGCACGUGUGAGGCCCUGGGUUCAAUCCCCAGUGUCA